rnacentral:rRNA from 1 species
CCCCUACACAUGUGUGCUGGAAUUAAUUAAUAAGGAUUCAUAAUACUUUUCUUUGAUUCUAAUUUUAGGGGAUAAGCUCUAUUUUAUAAAAUUUUUUUUAUUUUUAUUGUAGGGUUAGUAUUUUCCAACCUUUAAUUUUUAAAAAAUGUUUUUAUUGUUUUUAUUUAAUUUUUUUUGGGCUUUAUUAUAAACUUUUUUUUUUACAAGAUUUAUUUGUUAAAUUUAAAUUUUUUUUUGAACUCCGCAAAAUUUUUUUUUCCCCGUUUUUCAAAAAAAAUUUUUUUAGUUUUUUUUGGGGGUUUGGCCCGCUCAAAGAUAAUUUUAAAUAACCCCCGUUUUUUAACUGUGCAAAGGGAGCCUAAUAAUUUGUUUUUUAAAUGAGGUUUGGAAAGAAAGGUUUGACGGAAAAUACCCCUUUUUUUUUAAAUUUUUUUGAAAUUUUUUUUUGAGUUAAAAUUUUCAAAAUUUUUAGGGGGGCGAUAAGACCCCAUAGAUUUUUAAAAAAUAUUUUUUUUUUUUUUUUUUGUUGUUUUUAAUUAAAGUUUUUUUGUAUUUUUUGGUUGGGGUGAUAAACAAAAAUUUAAACUUUGUUUUUUUUUUACAUUUAUUUAUGGUUUUUUGGAUCCUUUAUUAUUGAUUUAAAGAUAAAGAUACCUUAGGGAUAACAGCGUUAUUUAUUUGGAGAGUCUUAUCGAUAAGUAAGUUUCUAGCCCCCAUC